rnacentral:rRNA from 1 species
AAUCCAUAGGUUAAUGAGGCGAACCGGGGGAACUGAAACAUCUAAGUACCCCGAGGAAAAGAAAUCAACCGAGAUUCCCCCAGUAGCGGCGAGCGAACGGGGAGGAGCCCAGAGCCUGAAUCAGCAUGUGUGUUAGUGGAAGCGUCUGGAAAGGCGCGCGAUACAGGGUGACAGCCCCGUACACAAAAGCGCAUGUGCUGUGAGCUCGAUGAGUAGGGCGGGACACGUGGUAUCCUGUCUGAAUAUGGGGGGACCAUCCUCCAAGGCUAAAUACUCCUGACUGACCGAUAGUGAACCAGUACCGUGAGGGAAAGGCGAAAAGAACCCCGGCGAGGGGAGUGAAAAAGAACCUGAAACCGUGUACGUACAAGCAGUGGGAGCACCUUCGGGUGUGAC